rnacentral:rRNA from 1 species
AAGGAAUAUUGGUCAUUGGACGCAAGUCUGAACCAGCCAUGCCGCGUGAAGGAUGAAGGUCCUCUGGAUUGUAAACUUCUUUUAUCUGGGACGAAAACGGGAUUUUUAUCUCAAUUGACGGUACCAGAGGAAUAAGCACCGGCUAACUCCGUGCCAGCAGCCGCGGUAAUACGGAGGGUGCGAGCGUUAUCCGGAUUUACUGGGUUUAAAGGGUGCGUAGGUGGGCUUAUAAGUCAGUGGUGAAAUCUCCGAGCUUAACUUGGAAACUGCCGUUGAUACUAUAGGUCUUGAAUUAUCUGGAGGUAAGCGGAAUAUGUCAUGUAGCGGUGAAAUGCUUAGAUAUGACAUAGAACACCAAUUGCGAAGGCAGCUUACUACAUAUAAAUUGACGCUGAGGCACGAAAGCGUGGGGAUCAAACA